rnacentral:rRNA from 1 species
GGUGAACGCUGGCGGUAGGCCUAACACAUGCAAGUCGAACGGCAGCACAGUAAGAGCUUGCUCUUACGGGUGGCGAGUGGCGGACGGGUGAGGAAUACAUCGGAAUCUACUUUUUCGUGGGGGAUAACGUAGGGAAACUUACGCUAAUACCGCAUACGACCCACGGGUGAAAGCAGGGGAUCUUCGGACCUUGCGCGAUUGAAUGAGCCGAUGUCGGAUUAGCUAGUUGGCGGGGUAAAGGCCCACCAAGGCGACGAUCCGUAGCUGGUCUGAGAGGAUGAUCAGCCACACUGGAACUGAGACACGGUCCAGACUCCUAAGGGAGGCAGCAGUGGGGAAUAUUGGACAAUGGGCGCAAGCCUGGUCCAGCCAUACCGCGUGGGUGAAGAAGGCCUUCGGGUUGUAAAGCCCUUUUGUUGGGAAAGAAAAGCAGCAGGUUAAUACCCCGCUGUUCUGACGGUACCCAAAGAAUAAGCACCGGCUAACUUCGUG